rnacentral:rRNA from 1 species
UACAGAGGUCUCAAGCGUUGUUCGGAUUCAUUGGGCGUAAAGGGCGCGUAGGCGGUCAGCACAAGUCAGUUGUGAAAUCUCCGGGCUUAACUCGGAAAGGUCAGCCGAUACUGCGGGGCUAGAGUGCAGAAGGGGCAACUGGAAUUCUCGGUGUAGCGGUGAAAUGCGUAGAUAUCGAGAGGAACACCUGCGGCGAAGGCGGGUUGCUGGGCUGACACUGACGCUGAUUGUGCGAAAGCUAGGGGAGCGAACGGG